AUUGAACGCUGGCGGCAGGCCUAACACAUGCAAGUCGAACGAGUGGCGGACGGGUGAGUAAUGUCUGGGAAACUGCCCGCUGGAGGGGGAUAACUACUGGAAACGGUAGCUAAUACCGCAUACCAUCGGAUGUGCCCAGAUGGGCUUCGCUAGUAGGUGGGGUAACGGCUCACCUAGGCGACGAUCCCUAGCUGGUCUGAGAUGAUGACCAGCCACACUGGAACUGAGACACGGGCCAGACUCCGAUGGGAGGCAGCAGUGGGUAAUAUGGCACAAUGGGCGCAAGCCUGAUGCAGCCAUGCCGCGUGGAUGAAGAAGGCCUUCGGGUUGUAAAGUAAUUUCAGCGAGGAGGCGUUACUCGCAGAAGAAGCACCGGCUAACUCCGUGCCAGCAGCCGCGGUAAUAC
rnacentral:rRNA from 1 species